UACGUAGGGUGCGAGCGUUGUCCGGAAUUAUUGGGCGUAAAGGGCUCGUAGGCGGUUUGUCACGUCGGGAGUGAAAACUCGGGGCUCAACCCCGAGCCUGCUUCCGAUACGGGCAGACUAGAGGUAUGCAGGGGAGAAUGGAAUUCCUGGUGUAGCGGUGAAAUGCGCAGAUAUCAGGAGGAACACCGGUGGCGAAGGCGGGUCUCUGGGCCGUAACUGACGCUGAGGAGCGAAAGCGUGGGGAGCGAACAGG
rnacentral:rRNA from 1 species